AUUGAACGCUGGCGGCAGGCCUAACACAUGCAAGUCGAGCGGGGACUUCGGUCCUAGCGGCGAACGGGUGAGUAAUGCUUGGGAAUCUGCCCAGUAGUGGGGGAUAACGUCCCGAAAGGGACGCUAAUACCGCAUACGUCCUACGGGAGAAAGAGGGGGAUCUUCGGACCUCUCGCUAUUGGAUGAGCCCAAGUCGGAUUAGCUAGUUGGUAGGGUAAUGGCCUACCAAGGCGACGAUCCGUAGCUGGUCUGAGAGGAUGAUCAGCCACACUGGAACUGAGACACGGUCCAGACUCCUACGGGAGGCAGCAGCGGGGAAUAUUGGACAAUGGGCGAAAGCCUGAUCCAGCCAUGCCGCGUGUGUGAAGAAGGCCUUCGGGUUGUAAAGCACUUUAAGCGGGGAGGAAGGUUCGCGGCCUAAUACGUCGCGGAAUUGACGUUACCCGCAGAAUAAGCACCGGCUAACUCUGUG
rnacentral:rRNA from 1 species